rnacentral:ncRNA from 1 species
UCUCACGUAACUGGCGACAGCCGGGCACCGAUGCCGGCACAAGGUGGACACCCACCGGGGAACGUGAGAUUUCAAUAGCCGUUCGCCUGGGCAGCCC